GUGGGGAAUAUUGGACAAUGGGCGCAAGCCUGAUCCAGCCAUGCCGCGUGAGUGAAGAAGGCCUUAGGGUUGUAAAACUCUUUCACCAGGGACGAUGAUGACGGUACCUGGAGAAGAAGCCCCGGCUAACUCCGUGCCAGCAGCCGCGGUAAUACGGAGGGGGCUAGCGUUGUUCGGAAUUACUGGGCGUAAAGCGCGCGUAGGCGGUUUAUCCAGUCAGGCGUGAAAGCCCUGGGCUCAACCCAGGAACUGCGUUUGAUACUGAUUGACUAGAGGCCGGGAGAGGGUAGUGGAAUUCCCAGUGUAGAGGUGAAAUUCGUAGAUAUUGGGAAGAACACCGGUGGCGAAGGCGGCUACCUGGACCGGACCUGACGCUGAGGUGCGAAAGCGUGGGGAGCAAACAGGAUUAGAAACCCCAGUAGUCC
rnacentral:rRNA from 1 species